AUUUUAUUUGGCCUCUGUUUGAAGUAUUACCAUACUUUUGAUAACAGUGGUCUCUGUUUUUGUGAUAUAAUGCAACUUUCUCCAUGCCAUUACGCGAGAUGUAAACAUCGACGUCAUCGAUGACGUCGACGCGUCGUUGCAGCACUACCCACAACCAUCACAUUUUCUUCAAACGUUGACAAUAACUUUUGUCAUUAAUUCAUCGGCUGAGGUCCACAUCCUUAGCCUGCUGGAAACCAUUAAACAGCAACAAGACCAGCUUGUGGCAAAGGUGAACUACCUCAGCAGCAGCUGAACAGCACCUCAGGGCCAGAUGUUGAGAUGCCUGAAAAUAUCCAGUUUCCCCUGGAGUAACUGGAGGCCGUGGAGGCAUUUGAAAUGUUUCUAAAGGAACCGUCAAAGACCCAGCUCCACAG